rnacentral:rRNA from 1 species
GACGAACGCUGGCGGCGUGCUUAACACAUGCAAGUCGAACGGUGACCCUCGGAGCUUGCUUCGGGGUGAGCAGUGGCGAACGGGUGAGUAACACGUGAGUAACCUGCCCCUGACUCUGGAAUAAGCGCUGGAAACGGCGUCUAAUACCGGAUACGACACGCCUCCGCAUGGGGAGCGUGUGGAAAGUUUUUCGGUCUGGGAUGGACUCGCGGCCUAUCAGCUUGUUGGUGAGGUAAUGGCUCACCAAGGCGAUGACGGGUAGCCGGCCUGAGAGGGCGACCGGCCACACUGGGACUGAGACACGGCCCAGACUCCUACGGGAGGCAGCAGUGGGGAAUAUUGCACAAUGGGCGAAAGCCUGAUGCAGCGACGCCGCGUGAGGGAUGACGGCCUUCGGGUUGUAAACCUCUUUCAGCAGGGAAGAAGCGAAAGUGACGGUACCUGCAGAAGAAGCACCGGCUAACUACGUGCCAGCCGCCGCGGUAAUAC